rnacentral:rRNA from 1 species
AAAUAUAAAAAAUAAAUUGAAAUUAAAUAUCAUAACAUUAUAAACAUUAUAAAUAUAUAUAAAUAAAUAAAUAAAAGGAAAAUAAUAAAUAUAAAUUUUAAUUCCAUAAAUUUUAAAAAAAAAAAUUUUUUAUAUAAGUAAAAUACUUUCAAAUAAAUAUAGUGCCAGCAGAAGCGGUUAAACUAAUAGUAUAAUAGAAAUUUAAAUAAAGAAAUUAAUAAAAUAAAAUAAAUAAUGUAAGUCAAAUUUAUAUAAAUAAAAAAAAAUACUUAAUUAAAAAUUAAAAACAAGGAUUAGAUACCCUUUUAAAAAUAAAAAAAAUAGUAGUUACAUAAACAAAAUUUAAAUAAAAAGGCGGUCUUUUCUAUAACAGAGGAUUUUGAAAGAUAAUAGAAAACACUCAUUUAUUAAACUUAAAUUAUAAUUUGUUAUAUAAUUGUAAAUAACAUAAUAACAAAAUUAAAUUAAUAUUAUAAAAUGUAAAAAUAACAAAUCAAUACAACAAUUAAAUUUAAAGUCUAUUUUAAAUACAAUUAUAAAUAAAAGAUUAUAAAAUUAAAAAUUAUAAAAAUAAGGAUUUGUAAAAAAAAUUUAUAAAAAAUAUAAAUUUUAAAAUAAAAGAUAAGAUGCACUAAUCGCCCGUCAUUCUUAACAAAAUUAAGACAAGUCGUAACAUAGUAAAAUAUCUGGAAAGAUAUUUUA